GGGGGAAUUUUUCCGCAAUGGGCGAAAGCCUGACGGAGCAAUGCCGCGUGAAGGAUGAAGGCCUAUGGGUUGUAAACUUCUUUUCUCAGAGAAGAAUUCUUGACGGUAUCUGAGGAAUAAGCAUCGGCUAACUCUGUGCCAGCAGCCGCGGUAAGACAGAGGAUGCAAGCGUUAUCCGGAAUGAUUGGGCGUAAAGCGUCUGUAGGUGGCUUAAAAAGUCUUCUGUCAAAGAUCAGGGCUUAACCCUGGGCCGGCAGGAGAAACUCUUAGGCUAGAGUUGGUAGGGGCAGAGGGAAUUCCCGGUGGAGCGGUGAAAUGCGUAGAGAUCGGGAGGAACACCAAAGGCGAAAGCACUCUGCUGGGCCACAACUGACACUGAGAGAACGAAAGCGAGGGGAGCAAAAGGGAUAAGAUACCCCCUAUAGU
rnacentral:rRNA from 1 species